rnacentral:rRNA from 1 species
CAGAACGAACGCUGGCGGCAGGCCUAACACAUGCAAGUCGUGCGAGAAAGGGGCUUCGGCCCUGAGUAGAGCGGCGCACGGGUGAGUAACACGUGAAUAAUCUGCCCUUAUGACCGGGAUAACAGACCGAAAGGACUGCUAAUACCGGAUAAGCCUCCACACCAACCGGGUGAGCGGGGAAAAGCAUGGGAUUCCUUCGGGGACCAUGUGCAUGAGGAUGAGUUCGCGUCCCAUUAGAUAGUUGGUGAGGUAAUGGCUCACCAAGUCAACGAUGGGUAGCUGGUCUAAGAGGAUGAUCAGCCACACUGGAACUGAGAUACGGUCCAGACCCCUACGGGAGGCAGCAGUGGGGAAUCUUGCGCAAUGGAGGAAACUCUGACGCAGCCAUGCCCGCGUGAGUGAUGAAGGCCCUCGGGUUGUAAAGCUCUGUCUAAGGGGACGAAAGUGUCGUAUUCCAACAGGGUACGAUAUUGACGGUACCCUUAAAGAAAACACCGGCUAACUCCGUGCCAGCCGCGGC